rnacentral:rRNA from 1 species
UACGUAGGAGACGAGCGUUGUCCGGAGUUACUGGGCGUAAAGGGUGCGCAGGUGGCGGCGCGCGUGGGGGGUGAAAUCGCCCGGCUUAACUGGGCGGGGGCCUUCCAGACGGCGUGGCUUGAGCAGCGGAGGGGGACGUGGAAUUCCGGGUGGAGCGGUGAAAUGCGUAGAGAUCCGGAGGAACCCCAGAGGCGAAGGCGGCGUCCUGGCUCACAACUGACGCUCAUACACGACAGCAUGGGGAGCGAACGGG